AUUGAGCACAAUGAGCAACGAAAAAUGGUUCCAAAAAUAGACAAUUUUGUGGAGGAUGUUGUCCCUCUCUACAGUCCCUCAGAAUUUAGAGGUCAUUUCAGGCUCACCAAAGAACAAGUGGAGCUCCUCAACAAUUGUUCCCAAGCUGGUCAACAUCUUUUUUUCAAAGGACCUUCUGCGCCUCUCCUUAAGUCGCCGCCAUCUCUCCAGAUCUGGCCUUACCAGGGACUCAAGCACAGCAGUCCUUCUCUCGGCAUGCUCUUCAUAAGCCUCCAGAAAUUGUAAGGGUUGUUGUGAUCGUC